rnacentral:rRNA from 1 species
AUUGAACGCUGGCGGCAGGUCUAACACAUGCAAGUAGAACGAGUGGCGGACGGGUGAGUAAUGUCUGGGAAACUGCCAGAUGGAGGGGGGGAACGACUGGAAACGGUAGCUAAUACCGCAUACCAUCGGAUGUGCCCAGAAGGGAUUAGCUUGUAGGUGAGGUAACGGCUCACCUAGGCGACGAUCCCUAGCUGGUCUGAGAGUAUGACCAGCCACACUGGACCUGAGACACGGUCCAGACUCCUACGGGCGGCAGCAGUGGGGAAUAUUGCACAAUUGGCGCCAGCCUGAUGCAGCCAUGCCGCGUGUAUGAAGAAGGCCUUCGUGUUGUAAAGUACUUUCAGCGGGGAGGCGUUACCCGCAGAAGAAGCACCGGCUAACUCCGUGCCAGCCGCCGCGGUAAUUC